GCUAAAUGCCUGGUUAGACCAUUACUUGCAUACCCAUCUAUCCAUUUAAAUUUUUAAAAUAGUGAUCAGUGCUCAUAUAAUGAUAUUGUGUUAUUGUAUUCUGGUGCAUUAACAUUUUUGGCUGCCUGUAUUUCCAUUUAUAUGUUUGUAUGUUCUUUUUUACCCUUA